CUUUCAGAUAUUUCCCUUAACCCACUCUCUGUAAUCAUUUAAUGCCUUUUUACUAAACAGAAAUUAAUUUUUUCCUAGAGAAAGUGAAAACUGGCAUAGCAUAAACCUUACUCCAAUCUAUCUGUAUGGAUUGGGUUCUCCUCUAUAAAAGAAAAAGAAGGUAUUUAAAAAGGAGGAUACCUGUGUUUAUAAAGAAAUAUAUCUGAAGAAAGAUUAGCAGAAAAUGAAUUAAAAUAUUAAAGUGGUUAUCACUAGGUAAUAUAUUUAUAGGUAACUAAUCAGAUUUUCAUAUCUUCCUCCUGUGUUUUCCAAAUUCUCUUCCAUGAGCCCAUUCCAUGUUAUAAACAUUUAAAUAUAAGAAAGAAAAAGGACAAACGUGUAAACAGAAAUCCUCAGUGACAGCUCCUUUCUUUAACUAAUUGAGACUGCUUAUACAUCCAGAGCGUAGUUUCCCCUGACUAGAUAAUGUGUGCUUUCAACACAAGAGAAGAGAGCGGAGGAGUGAUCGGAGACCAAACGAGAGGAGGGAGCUUCAGGACGUGCUGGGAGAGCUUCUGCAUCCUCAGGUUCCCGUGCUUUCCAGCAUCAUGUGUUACCUGCAUCAUCACUGAAUAUUCUCAUGGCCUUCAAAACACAGCUGUGUAUUUGGAGUCUGCUUCUUCAAUGCAUUGCCAUCUCUGCCCCUCUGCCUGCCCUGGGUGCACAGGUGUUAAGCUUGGUACAGACUCUGACUUCGUGUCUAUGAUGUGUUACCACAAAUAGUUAACCUUGCUCCUUUGGAAGACUGUGGCCAAGACUGCAAGCUUAAAAGAAAACAUUUUGAGAAAAUUAUUAUUAAAAGUCGUCAACAUGCACAAUUUGAGAUGCACCUUGGUAUAAAAGAAUGAUUUCAAAAUGUUGAGGAUAAGUAAAAUUUUGGUAAGUUCAUUUUCAAGUACUUACCGUAUACUUCUUGUUUGAUUAAGUCUAUACUCAGAAAUGUGGGGACAGUGAAAAAAGUGAUCCUUCCUCAUAAGUUAAUUUAGUAUGGGAAAGGAAAUACAUAAGCACAAAAUUUGAUACAUUCUAGUUAACUACUGAGUAAAGAAUGAAUCAUGAGCAAGCAAAUGAAUGUAAUACCAUUACUAGGUAAAAAAGCCAUGAAAUAUCAAAUUCUAUGAGAUGUGUUUAGAUAAAUGUUAGGGGAAAUGAUAGGGGAAUGUUUUUCAUUUGGUUAAAAAAUAUACAGUCAAUAUAAUCUCAAGUUAUAACCUUGCAAAUGUAAAAUAAAAAAGAAGCUUAAAAAUACUAAUUACUGGGU
rnacentral:lncRNA from 1 species